CUGAUCAGCCCGGAAGCUGUUA
rnacentral:miRNA from 1 species